CUAGGUUCUAAGGUUGUGCACUAAAUCCAGCUGCUGUUGCAUUCCCAUGGUGCUCUCCUGCAGCUGCAUCCAAUCAGAUCACAGAACCUUGAAACUGAAGCAGCUACAGCCUGAAAACACAGGCCAUCGUCAUGCUUUUUCUGGAUAUCUCAUUCAUGAAAUUCAGACUCACACCUCUCUGUCUGUUUUUCUUUCUCCCUGUCGCUUGCUCUUCCUUUCUCAAGAGGUUCUGUAAAAUUUUAACUAGGCCUCUUUACCGCAGGUGUUGCAUAUUGGUGAUUAAAGCACCUCUGCAUCUGUUGUUCCUCAGGCAAGAUUUGGUCUGAUUACUGCUCACUAGGGUGCAGAGUGCCGUGACCUGCUUUUGUUUGAGUUCAGACUCAUUUUGCCGUCCUUGAAUGUUAUCACAACUCCUGUAAUCAACAAGUGGCUGCUUAGCUUCAUUUCAUGGUAACAUAAAACUAAUGGAUAGGAAGAAAAGGAAGUCUCACAGGUUGGAUUAUUAGAACAACAUGAAAGUAAUGCUAGAAUGCUGUGUUGGAGCCAGACUGGGUUAGAAACACUUGUUGAAUCAUGAAGCUUUGGUAAUAUUCAGUUACAAUUCUGGGCUGGCACAAGGGUCUCAGGGUCCUCAUGUACUCUGCUGUCGUCAUUUUCACCUACACAUACUCACACAAAUAGACCAAGUUUCCAGCCACCCACCAUCUAUAGUUUGCCCUUUAUGGCCAAACCCACCUGUUUCUUUCCCAUGCUAUAGUAUAUUCUGAAUUAAUCAAGGUCAGAUCAUGUGAUGUCCAUUAGAUCAUAUGAUGUCCAUUAGAUUUCACCACUCAUUUGCAUCACAUCACCAAUUGGUUUUUGUCAACUCUAAUUGAAGUUGAAAUAUGGUCAGUAUGGAUGACCAGUUACAGCUAAUAUCUGCAUCCAGUUUUAAAUUUAGUUGCAAGAACGUUGCUUUCAAUAUCAGCAAAGACAAUGACUGAUUGUGUGGGUUCAUGAAAAACAAUCAAGGCCUGGUGUUGCUUGACAAUAAUUGGUUAAACUUGGAUCUAAACUGGUUUGAGAACAAGUGAGGCAGGAAGGACGUGAAGAAAAGGUGGUUUGGAGCUUCAGAGACAUUUGUGCGUCAGUACUCUCAGGCCCGUAAAAUGUCACAAGCAACAUCAAACAGUUUGAGAUAUGAGAUAUGCUUCCCACUCACUGUACAGUUAUGCUUUUGAAGGUGUCAAAGAUAUGCAGUUUUGUACACACUUGCAAAAAGGCCAAUUGAAAGAAAAAAACAAAAACAAAAAAACACAUUGCUUCCUUUACCUUUUUUGGUCGUAACUUCACAUAUCAGAAUCAGCAUUUGCCUUCCAGCAUCACAUCAGCUGUCUUUUUAGUCCUGCAGUGAAAACUGCAGUAUUUACAUAGCAGAAAGUACAGUUUCUCUGUCAUCUUAAUCUCAUCCAGAAGCUCCCAAAGUCCUAUUCUAAGGUCCAACCCAAACAGUAAGCAUGGUACAGAUCAGAGAUGUGACAGGGUUAAGUAGCUCAGUUUCAGCUUUUUAACUCGGUCUCCUCUACGCUUUAUUGUGCUGUUUCAGCAGCCAGAGAAAUGCUGCAAAUAGAAGCCAGUGGCUGGGUGCAGUCGCAACCACACUUUCCUUUGCACCUGGUUCCACUACCAGCUCACCUUCAUGUUGAAACAUUUCCAAACCGCACAUUUUUAAAAAUCUUUUCUUCUAAACACCUUUUUCUGUCAUACUCUUCUGCUCUUCGUGCUGUUCAAAGGUUACUCUGAAGAGGUAAAAAGAAACCAUGUGAUGGACUAUGGAAACAGCCAGGGGGGCAAGGUUAAUAUUCAUGACUAGACGAUUGUUUAACUGCACUGCUUCAGAAUAAGUUCUUAAACUUCACUUGUAGUCGAAAGCCUCAGGUACAUGUGGACCUUCCAGCCAUAAUAAUUGGGCUGAGAUGGGACAAGCUGCUCAACACAAUACAUACACUAAAUGUGUACAGUUUAAAGAGUAUAUCAGUGCAAAACUUUCUGUCAUGAUACUAGGGGGUUGUCUGAAGUUGCCAGGGCAUCUCUAUUCAUGCAUUUUGAAUAGUUUUAGCCCAUUGCUAUGAUAAUCACUGUCUUAGGGUGUUUUUGUUGUAAACUGAAACCAGUUGCAUGCCUUUAGGGCCAUGGAAAAUUUGUCUAUGAAACAACCAACUUAUUUAUUUUAGCUUUACAAUAACACUAUUGAUGAUACCCUUUAGGCUUAUGUUUCCUCGUUGUUUUGAUGUAAUGAUGAACAGUAGGUCAGAAAGUAAAUCUGUUCACAUGAAACUCCUCACUUCAUAGAAUACAAGUUACUCUUCAAUCUGAAGUCAUCACUGACCUUGGCCUUUCACUUGCUCUACACACACACGUACACGAACACAUACAGAAAUACAGAAAAAGGCAGAAUUGGCACAUUUUUGUUUGUUUGCACUGCUCAAACAUCAAGCAAUCCAUUCCAGGACUUCCUGAUAGAGGAAUUACAAAGUCUAGUAGUGUUUCUCAACACUGAUACACAGACUCAGGUUGAACGGCAACAGAAGCCACACAUGAAGCUUUUCAGGCUGUACCCUCUUUCUCUCUCUCCAGCCGCACUGCAAGCGAAAAAGAGACCUGCUUCCUGUUUAUGAUGAGAACACAUUAAGUACCUAUAUGUUUACAGGCACAUUUUACAGGAUGUGGCCUUGCUCACGAGGGUGGAGACUGAGUGCAGUGGAGGAAAGAUGGGGAGGUUGAGGGUUUCUUUAUAUAGGUACACCUGACAGAACAUACCAAGCAACUGGUGCAAGUCUUUCCAUCACAUGCACAAUGGAAACAGCAAAAAGGAACAUUUUUGAGUGUUGUUUUGUUGACUUGGUAGACUUGGGUGCCAACAAGUUGAACAUAUACUGUAUUGAGCUCUGCUUCACUUAUAUGGUCAGUAUUUAUGUACUGAACAAGGCUGCAGAAAGCAUUUGCAAAGUAGCCAAGUGGCAUUUAUAAACAAAUGAUCCUAUUUUUAGUAUAUGAAGCUAGUUAACCCGGGUGUUUUACCAAAUAACCACAGAUGUUGUUCAGUAUGCACAUUCAACACUAAGGUUUGACAGUCAGAAAGUGUACAAAUUCAGUAUCCAAAUGAUCUGGAGAGUGUAUUCAUUAUUAUUAUU